rnacentral:rRNA from 1 species
AGAGUUUGAUCCUGGCUCAGAAUCAACGCUGGCGGCGCGCCUAACACAUGCAAGUCGAACGAGAAAGUGGAGCAAUCCAUGAGUAAAGUGGCGUACGGGUGAGUAACACGUGGAUAACCUGCCCUCUAGUGGGGAAUACCGUUGGGAAACCGACGACAAUACCGCAUAAGCUCGAGAGAGGAAAGCAGCAAUGCGCUGGAGGAGGGGUCCGCGGCCGAUUAGCUCGUUGGUAGGGUAAUGGCCUACCAAGGCUUUGAUCGGUAGCCGGCCUGAGAGGGCACACGGCCACACUGGCACUGAAACACGGGCCAGACUCCUACGGGAGGCAGCAGUGGGGAAUCUUGCACAAUGGGGGAAACCCUGAUGCAGCGACGCCGCGUGAGCGAUGAAGCCCUUCGGGGUGUAAAGCUCUUUCGGCAGGGAAGAUUAUGACGGUACCUGCAGAAGCAGCUGCGGCUAACUACGUGCCAGCAGCCGCGGUAAUACGUAGGCAGCAAGCGUUGUUCGGAGUUACUGGGCGUAAAGGGUGCGCAGGCGGUCCUGUAAGUAUGGUGUGAAAUCUCCCGGCUUAACUGGGAGGGUGCGCUAUAAACUGCGGGACUAGAGUGUGGGAGAGGAAAGUGGAAUUCCUGGUGUAGCGGUGAAAUGCGUAGAUAUCAGGAGGAACACCGGUGGUGUAAACGGCUUUCUGGACCAUAACUGACGCUGAGGCACGAAAGCGUGGGUAGCAAACAGGAUUAGAUACCCUAGUAGUCC